GACUGGCGGGGGAGGCGGGCAGAGGGGACGCCGCGCCCAAGCCGCGCCUCUGGAUGGCGACAGAGACGGCCCGGCGCGCCCGCUGCCUGGGCACCAAGCGGGGAGGACAGACCUGGCCGGCGCGAAGUUUGUGGACUUGGGCUGCGGGCCCCGGGCGCCCCUACUCCUUCCCGCAGAGUUCCCGCAGAGGCUCGCGACGCCGGGGCCCAGAGUUUACCUUAAAGAUCAUCAGUAGAACUGAUUCAGAGGGAAGUGGAUCCCGUAUAUCCUUUGAGGUCAGCUUCCCCAGCCCCACUCCUCUCUUGGGUCCCCUCAGCAAGACGAGCUCCCAAGACCAGAUGCUCGCCAGGCAGCCCCGUGGUACCAGAGCACCUUCUGAUCCUGCACGAGCAGGGGCCUCCGAGGACCCCAUGAGGCCUUGCUGGAACUGAAUACCCUUUCCCAGGGGUCACUAGAGGGCCCGAUGCAAAGACGUCUCCGGCAUCACCCGUCACCUCGAAUCCCCGCCCACCGGGCCUCUAAGCAGACCGUGGAGGCUGUGAUGAGGGCUGAGGGCCCGUGGUGGCCCGGUGAGGACGCCUCUCCAGCUCCAACAGUAUUCCUGCUGUAAUGUGAGUGUGUCCGGGAGGAUUUUCUUCAUAAAUUUUUCUGUUCCUGCUUAAUUAAAACAGUCUGACUUCCCUCCUCCGUGUCCUCCUGACACGCUUCCUGAUUCCCUCUGCUGGCAUGCAGGCACCACAGACCCUGGGCCCCUGAGAACCUGGGGUUGGUGGGGGGCAGGACCCGUCUGGAAUGUGCUGGGCUGGUGUCCGCCCUCUGGCCCCUGGAGGGGCUCCCUCGCUGUCCCUGCAGCUCCCAGGGGAUGCCAGGAUCUCUAGCUCUUAAGUUCCCCCCUUUGAUGGCAGCCUUUCAUCCUGUUCAGAAGGAAGUGACUUUUUCAAAUGUGACACGUUCCAUUUCGUCCUGUCCAUUCUGAACUCCUGUUAUGUUCCGGACAUUCCCUCAUCCAGCAGCCAUUCGUUGGGCACCUUCUAGAUGUCACUGCUGCAGGGGAGGAAUUAAACAAGACACACGCUUUCUGUUCCCUGGAAACGUGUGCCCGGUUUGGGAAAUGGAUGAGGAAACUGGCAAUCAGAGCGCAGUGUGGCCGAGCCGUGUUGGGAGGGGCUAAUCCGGCAGGGGAAGAGCACUUGGCCCCAGACCAGGUGUGGGGCGCUGGGAGGGUAUGCCAGGGAAGCUUCCAGCAGAGCGGUUUUCAAACAUGGUUAGUGCCAUCCUUAGAAAGAGCACACACAAACACACACGUGAAAUGACAGCUUCACAAACCGAUACCCACACUCUCAAUACUCUGUGCUGUUUUCCAUUCUGUCCUAAUUCAUUCCUUAAAACACUGGUUGUCCACCAACGCUUGUGUUUACUGUAAUUUUCUUUGCUGGACAAGCACUGUUCCAGGGGAGAUGUGGUCUGCGUUGAAUGUGGGAGGAUAAAUUAGAGCCGUCACACCAAAGGUCAGGGGAACCCGGUGACAUUGGGCAGUGGGGGAGCCCCAACCAGAGACAGGGGUACGGUGAGUUUGGCACAAUCUGCUUUCUCUUGGAGCUCACGCCACAAGACUUCUGUGGCUACAACGCGAGGGGGUUGACAUGUAUAAGGAAAAAGUAUUCAAAGACGCUUGCUGAAUAUGGCGACGCAGAUCUGGUUCAGGGCCCUCGCGAUGAGCGCGGGAUGGGGUUGUGCACUAGGGAGGGGCUGGGCUCAACCCGGGGUACGGCGUGGGCCAGUGGGGGUUCCCAGGCAGGGAGCAGGAGGGGCAGUGGGAGGAACGUUACUGAGAGGAAACGUCGAGGUGAGGGGGGCUCCGGUCACACUGACUGAGGGGGCUUCUUGUUACACUGAUUGUACAGGAAGUACAUGGGUGGGCCCCGGAGAGGGCUUGGGAGCCUGAUGGAAGUCCAGUCGAGCAAGGAAUCUUUGUCUGAAAGGAAAGCUUCAUGAAUCUGGAGUGUAUCGACUAAGUCUUUGCUGGGUGCUGAAUCCGGAGUGUAUCGACUAAGUCCGUGCUGGGUGCUACAAAUCCCUACCAGGAAGAGGAAAGAGAGCUGAGCCCUUGGAAUCCCGGUGGUAGAGGGCCCGAAACCCAGUGAGGCUGGAAAGGGCUGAGGAGGGGGGAUGACAGGGACGGCUGAGCAGUGACGGUGGCGGGGUCGCUUGACCAGUGACAAGGGCAGGGCGAUUAAGUUCGAGAUGCAGCCAGCAUCCAGCCCGAAGCAAGGGCAGAUGCUGGUGGCCCCUGGGGGACUGGUGGGAGACCGAGAUGGAAACUGAGAAUGAGGGAGGAGCGGAGUCCUGUUGCUAGGAAACCGCGCAGACCUGGGCCGCCAAGCGCGCUGCCGGGUGACAGCAGCUGUUGAUUGGCUGGUUUGGGGGACUGGCCAGAAGGGACAGGACGUUAAACUCUGAAGCCCCGUAAGCACGCUGGGGAAUCACGCCCCGCCUGCCCUCCGCGCCUAGCCAACGAGGCACGUGCUUGUGCGGCCCCGGGGGCACGGCCUGCGUCUCACCCCACCCCAGGCCCAGAGCCCCGGCCCACGGAGGGCGCCGCCUGCCUCCCGGCCCGCCCAGGCGGCCGAGAGAGCCCCAGGAGUGGAGCGCUGCCCCUGCACAAGACGUGGCCCACGAGAGUGGCUGGCCGUGGCACUCGUUCCACGUGUGGGCAGAGAAUCUGAGCGUCUGCUCUACAGGAUCGGCAGGCGCCGUUUUCUGGCGGGAGGCUGGCGGUGGUUCUGUUCUCCGGCCCUCCGUGCUGAGCGCGCUGCAUUUCUCACUUGAGUCGUGGGCUGCCAGACUGACCGAGAGGCUCCCGGCUGGAUGCUGAACUGGGUGGGAUGUGGGGAUGUCUCCGCCAGGGCAACGGGGAGCCAAGUGUGUUUUAUGGGAAGGCAGGCGCUGUUCUGCGAAGGAUAUGUGUGGUCUGUGCAUGGUAGGCUGCUAAAGGGGUGGACUGUAGUGUGCCUGGCCGGUUCCUCCUUCUGGAAACAGUUGCAGGUUCCCCUUUGAGGGUCCAGGGUGCAUUUUUCAGACACUGCAAGUGCUGGGUGGGACGGGGGCAGGACAGCAGGUGGCAGCAAGUGUAGAAGGCCAGGUAAGAGACAGGCUGGCCGCUUCCCUCGGGGGCAGCCGUGAGCGCAGAGGGACAGACACCAGGGGCUUCAGGCGCUCUAUGGGAGGUGGAGAACCGAGGGCUGGGGGCCAUGGGGCCAUGGCAGAGAUGUGUCACGUGACUCUGCUUCCGGCUAGAAAUGCUGGGAAGUGGCAGCGAUACCUGCCGAGACAGGUACUGGCCGGGUGAGGGGAUGCACAGCAGGGUCAGGGAGGCCAGCCACUUCUUGCUCAGCGUUCAGGCUGCAGCGCGGCGGGAUGCGCGAAAGGGCAGAAGAUCAGCGGGUGCGGACGGCGAACGCAAGCCCCGCGAGGACCCAGGCCCCUGGCUGAAAUCUCAGCGCUGGAAACCGUGUCCUUCACGCAGCCGUAUGUUCCAGGCACCGUCCCGAGCUCAUUGCCUGGAGAGACGGAUCACUGGACACCUGUACUUAGGCGGGUGUGCUGUGGCUGGAGGGGGCGGAGGGCCCGCUCCAGCACCUUCAGCAGAUGAGGGGGGCUGAGGGUGAGGCUGGCGGUUCCCGACGGUACGGCCCCUGCUCCCCUGCCCCUCCGUCCUGAAUUGUGUUCAUUUAAGACAGUUUUGUAACACGGACAGAAGAGAAACAGAAAAUGUUCCUUCAUUCUGCCCCUCAGAGUUAACCACGUAGAGCAUUUC